UACGAAGGGGGCUAGCGUUGCUCGGAAUUAUUGGGCGUAAAGCGCACGUAGGCGGCUUAGCAAGUCGGAUGUGAAAGCCCUCGGCUCAACCAAGGAAGUGCAUCCGAAACUGCUGAGCUUGAGUACUUAAGAGGAUCGCGGAAUUCCCGGUGUAGAGGUGAAAUUCGUAGAUAUCGGGAGGAACACCAGUGGCGAAGGCGGCUACCUGGACCAGCACUGACACUGAGGCACGAAAGCGUGGGGAGCAAACAGG
rnacentral:rRNA from 1 species